rnacentral:rRNA from 1 species
AGUGAACGCUGGCGGUAGGCCUAACACAUGCAAGUCGAACGGCAGCACAGUAAGAGCUUGCUCUUACGGGUGGCGAGUGGCGGACGGGUGAGGAAUACAUCGGAAUCUACUUUUUCGUGGGGGAUAACGUAGGGAAACUUACGCUAAUACCGCAUACGACCUACGGGUGAAAGCAGGGGAUCUUCGGACCUUGCGCGAUUGAAUGAGCCGAUGUCGGAUUAGCUAGUUGGCGGGGUAAAGGCCCACCAAGGCGACGAUCCGUAGCUGGUCUGAGAGGAUGAUCAGCCAAACUGGAACUGAGACAGGGGCCAGACUCGUAGGGGAGGCAGAGGGGGGGAAUAUUGGAAAAUGGGCGCAAGCCUGACCCAGCCAUACCGCGGGGGUGAAGAAGGCCUUCGGGUUGUAAAGCCCUUUUUUUGGGAAAGAAAAGCAGCAGGUUAACACCCCGCUGUUCUGACGGUACCAAAAGAAUAAGCACCGGCGAACUUCGU